rnacentral:misc_RNA from 1 species
AAAAAACCCGAGUUGCAGAUUUCUGAGCCGAAACAAAUACAACUCCUAAAAUUCACAAGCGGAAUUGCAAAAAGAAACCUUUCAAUGCUCCAAAAGAAAGAUUAAGUUCACUGCCAAACUGCCAAGCAAACUGAAACCUAGCUUCAGGCACAGCACAAAAUUCUCGAAAAGCAGGAAAUGAGAGCUUUAGCUCCAAGACAAAACCAAAAACCUAACCUUAAAAUUAA